CAAUGAAUGUGUUUGUAGAUAGAUGUUUUUGUGUUCUGUUAAAUUGUCCCUUUUAAAAUUGUUAUACGAUGAUGACUGAUGUACCCAUAUUUUGACUAUUUUAUUUAUUGUGUCUAUUUAGUUUACGCAUCUAUGUAAAUAUAACGGAAUUUGACGAGACUGUCAUCAAAGUGAGAGGGUUAGCGCUAUAAAACCAGGUUUAAUCCACCAUUUUCUACAUUUGAAAAUGCCUGUACCUAGUCAGGAAUAUGAC
rnacentral:lncRNA from 1 species